rnacentral:rRNA from 1 species
GAUGAACGCUGGCGGCGUGCCUAACACAUGCAAGUCGAGCGAUUCUCUUCGGAGAAGAGCGGCGGACGGGUGAGUAACGCGUGGGUAACCUGCCCUGUACACACGGAUAACAUACCGAAAGGUAUGCUAAUACGAGAUAAUAUGCUUUUAACGCAUGGUAGAAGUAUCAAAGCUUUUGCGGUACAGGAUGGACCCGCGUCUGAUUAGCUAGUUGGUAAGGUAACGGCUUACCAAGGCGACGAUCAGUAGCCGACCUGAGAGGGUGAUCGGCCACAUUGGAACUGAGACACGGUCCAAACUCCUACGGGAGGCAGCAGUGGGGAAUAUUGCACAAUGGGCGAAAGCCUGAUGCAGCAACGCCGCGUGAGCGAUGAAGGCCUUCGGGUCGUAAAGUUCUGUCCUCAAGGAAGAUAAUGACGGUACUUGAGGAGGAAGCCCCGGCUAACUACGUG